rnacentral:rRNA from 1 species
GACGAACGCUGGCGGCGUGCUUAACACAUGCAAGUCGAACGGAAAGGCCCUGCUUUUGUGGGGUGCUCGAGUGGCGAACGGGUGAGUAACACGUGAGUAACCUGCCCUUGACUUUGGGAUAACUUCAGGAAACUGCGGCUCAUACCGGAUAUGAGCUCCUGCUCCAUGGUGUUGGUUGGAAAGUUUCGGCGGUUGUGGAUGGACUCGCGGCUUAUCCGCUACUUGGUCGGGUAGUGGCUUACCAAGGCUUUGACGGGUAGCCGGCAUGAGAGAGGUAACGGGGACAUGAGGACUGAGAGACGGACCAGAAGCGUACGGGAGGCAGCAGGGGGGAAUAUGGCAGAACGGGCGGAAGCCUGAUGCAGCAACGCUGCGUGCGGGAUGACGGCCUUCGGGGUGUAAACAGAUUUCGACGGUGACGAAGAGUGGGUGACGGUAAUGGGUAAAGAAGCACCGGCUAACUACGUG